rnacentral:rRNA from 1 species
UACGAAGGGUGCAAGCGUUACUCGGAAUUACUGGGCGUAAAGCGUGCGUAGGUGGUUCGUUAAGUCUGAUGUGAAAGCCCUGGGCUCAACCUGGGAAUGGCAUUGAAACUGGCGACCUAGAGUGCGGUAGAGGGCAGUGGAAUUCCCGGUGUAGCAGUGAAAUGCGUAGAGAUCGGGAGGAACAUCUGUGGCGAAGGCGGCCAUCUGGACCAGCACUGACACUGAGGCACGAAAGCGUGGGAGCAACAGG